UCAAGAAACUUCCACAAUGGGCGAAAGCCUGAUGGAGCGACGUCGCGUGAUGGACGAAGUGCUUCGGCACGUAAACAUCUUUUAUGUGGGAUGAAAUUAUUGACAGUACCACAUGAAUAAGGGGCUCCUAACUCUGUGCCAGCAGGAGCGGUAAUACAGAGGCCCCAAGCGUUAUCCGGAAUCACUGGGCGUAAAGGGUGUCGAGGCGGUUGUAUUAGUCGUUCGUAAAAUCUACGAGCUUAACUUGUAGGCGGCGAACGAAACGGUACGACUUGAGGUUUGGAGAGGUGCGUGGAACUCACGGUGUAGGGGUGAAAUCCGUUGAUAUCGUGGGGAACACCAAAGGCGAAGGCAGCGCACUGGCCAAAAUCUGACGCUCACACACGAAAAGCUAGGGUAGCGAAGAGGAUUAGAUACCCAAGUAGUCCCUGAGCGGGCUGGCAAGGCGCAU
rnacentral:rRNA from 1 species